AUAGGCCAGACUCCCUAGUGCCUUAUACCAACACCUCAAAAUUCUAUAUGCUAGAUUUUACAUACCAGGAAGGGCAGUGGGCAAUCUUUACCUUUCCCCUAUAUCCUGGGCCAACUUCAUGGAGAUUUGCUCUAACUUGAUGCAAUCUAUGAAGGACAGUGAGCAGAACCAGAGAAUUUUGCUUGGUUCAACUAAGCAGCGUGAGAGAAAGCAGGGAAGCCACUGAGGAAAGGCUGUCUCUCAGCACCAUCCUGCCCAAGGAGGAAAGAAAGGCUUGACCUCCUAACAUUUAGCAUCAGGACCUCUUCCUUGGGGCUGGGAUGAGGGAGAAAGUGUUGCCUGUUUGAAGCCACCUCCUGAGAGUAAUCAGAAGUAGUCAAAUAUAUUAUAAACAGGAGUAUAUAAGUGUUAAAUAAGUGGAGAGAGAAAAAUCAGUUGUGAGGUACUCCUAAAAAGUAAUAAGGCACUAAUUAAGUAAUAAUAAGUCAUAUUUUAAAACACAGGCACUAGAACUUAUGUGAUCAAAUGAGCAGCGUUCCUUUCCAAAUAGUCCCUUUGGGAAAAUAAACAGUUAUUCUAACAACGCUGCCAUAGAUCAAACUAUUUCUGGAACUGGAACAUUAUCUUUCAAGGCUGUUUACUAGUUCCACCAGAAAAGAGCCUCACUAGAUGGAUCGCAUCUCAUUUUUCACAAUUGAAACCAACUCUGUACAGCUUCAGAAUCCAUCAGACACCUUUCAAGAGCUUGCUUGGGAAGUAAAAAGGCCCUGGCCUGGAGCUGGGCUCAGAGGGUGGGCAGCAGCAGAGGAGCCAGCACCCCACAGGGUCCUCCGUCUUAAUUGCCUAGUGUCAGUGACCCCCAGGCCUGAGAUCUCCCACCUCCUACUCCAUCAGUGAGCCCGUGAGGAUUCUGUCUUUAUAGCCUAGUUCUUACUCAGUAAGUUCUUCAGGCAUUGAUAUUUGGGGGCUGUAGUCCAGCCCCUCAGAGUUCUUCUCAAUGGACUCUCACUUUUACCAACAAGUCAAGGAAGUGUACUUUGCAGACCUCCAAUAAGGGUAAUUAAGCAGCAGCAUAAUUGACAAAGUCCUUAACUACUGUGCUACUCAUGGAGGUCAAGCCUCUGCCACCGAGUGUUCCCAGCCCACAGUGGACCAAGGCAAGUAACAUUUCCAGAGAUGUGGAACUUUGGCUUGAGGGCUCCUAGUGACCUUGCCUAACCUCCCCUGGAUUGCAUGGGAAUCUAGGAAGCUUUCACCCAUUCUCCUCUUCUCUCCCUCACUCGGGAUUAGACUUGCAUGGAGGUCUGAGGACCCUCCAAGUCACCCUACCCGUUUUAUCUCAUGUACGGGCUGACUAUGAGAUUUUAAGAUAUUGCUUCUAACUGUGAAACAGGAUCUCAAAGCACCUCGCAGAAAAACUUUCUUACUUGGAAAACUGAUGUAGAAGUAACACAGAACAAUGAACAUCUUGUUAAAUGUGGAAAACCUCUUUGUCCUUUUAGCCUGAGAGCUGCAACCUUGGUUGAUCUGUUGAGGUAGAAUAUAUCAGCUGCAGAAUUAAAGAGUCUGUUGAUCUUCUCAACUACGAUUUGAGUUACUGGAAAAUGGGAACCAUGAUGACUCAUCACUGUAUAUUCUGGAAUAUGCUACAAUUCUUUACGGAUGUCAAUAAACUUCUUCAAGAUCCACAUUAUAAAUAUUUGAUCUCUGUGGGACAUAUGGUUUUGGUCACACUACUCAGCUCUCAUUGUAUUGCAAAAGUUGUCAUAGAUAACUUUUAAUAAAGACACCCAUAAACAAA